AAUAAGACCCCGGCUAACUACGUGCCAGCAGCCGCGGUAAUACGUAGGGGCGAAGCGUUAUCCGGAAUCACUGGCGUAAAGGGAGUGUAAGGCGGUCAAGCAAGUACAGAGGUGAAAGGGCAUCGGCUCAACCGAAUGUAAGACCUUUGUAAACUAGUUUGACUUGAGUGCAGGAGAGGUAAGUGGAAUUCCUAGUGUAGCGGUGAAAUAGCGUAGAUAUUAGGAGGAACACCAGUGGCGAAGGCGACUUACUGGACUGUAACUGACGCUGAGGCUCGAAAGCGUGGGGAGCGAACAGGAUUAGAUACCCUGGUAG
rnacentral:rRNA from 1 species